rnacentral:rRNA from 1 species
AUUGAACGCUGGCGGCAGGCCUAACGCAUGCAAGUCGAACGGUAACAGGAAACAGCUUGCUGUUUCGCUGACGAGUGGCGGACGGGUGAGUAAUGUCUGGGAAACUGCCUGAUGGAGGGGGAUAACUACUGGAAACGGUAGCUAAUACCGCAUAACGUCGCAAGACCAAAGAGGGGGACCUUCGGGCCUCUUGCCAUCGGAUGUGCCCAGAUGGGGUUAGCUAGUAGGUGGGGUAACGGCUCACCUAGGCGACGAUCCCUAGCUGGUCUGAGAGGAUGACCAGCCACACUGGAACUGAGACACGGUCCAGACUCCUACGGGAGGCAGCAGUGGGGAAUAUUGCACAAUGGGCGCAAGCCUGAUGCAGCCAUGCCGCGUGUAUGAAGAAGGCCUUCGGGUUGUAAAGUACUUUCAGCGGGGAGGAAGGGAGUAAAGUUAAUACCUUUGCUCAUUGACGUUACCCGCAGAAGAAGCACCGGCUAACUCCGUG